ACCUCAGACAGAAUAGAGACGAAUCGCCUUAUCCCUGGCAGAAGAUUUUCAGAUAAUUGGAGACACGUCUCACAGGCAAAAUGCACAUGAUGUCAAGGCUUGCCCCCCGAAGAAGGAGUCAGUGGUGGUUUUGAACAGGAAUGGCAUCACUUAAAUGUAUUUUCAAGGAGCAGAGUCAUCUGAUGCUAAGAACGGCUAGACUGAAAAAAAAAGAAAAAGAAAAGAAAAAAAGUUGAUAGUUACCUCCUGAGAGUUGGGCAGUGAUCAGUAAGAUCCUUCUACUGUGGCUGCCAGCAAGUCCGUGCCUGAUUUGAUGAGAUUCUGAAAAGGACUACUACAUUCUAGCCAAAGGUUUCUGAACCUUGGCACUAUUGACAUUUUAAAGGGGAGAAUUCUUUGUCGUUUGGGAGAAUCCUGUGCAUUGUAGGAUAUUUAGUGGCAUCUCCGACCUCUACCCACUGGAUACCAGCAGAACAUCCCCUCCCCGUGCAAGAGUGUGACAAUUAAAAAAUGUCUGUAGGAAUUGUCAAAUGUACCCUGGGUGGCAAAAUCGCCCCCAUGAAGAACCAUUGGGGGCAAAAUCACCAGCACUGAGGACCACUGCUCUGGCCCACGAGACAGCUUUUCCAGGAAUACCUAUUGUCACAUUGUUCUCCUUCAGUCUGGAACAGUUCCUCCUUCUUUCUCUGGCUCUGGAUCUGCGUCCCUGACAGUCUUAAAGAGGACAGAACUUUCAUUUAUGAGGGUGACCCUCAACUUGGCUCAGUCAAUGUUUCCUCAGACUCAAGCCUUGCAUUCCUGGCAGAAAGACUGAAGAAAUGACGCUGUGCUCUUCUCAGUGCUUCACGUCAGGAGGCUCUACUCUCUCAACCGGCCCCCACUAUUGGUCAACCUUUUUUGACUCCUGAACUCUAUGAAGAAUGUGCCUGCUUUAAAUUUUUUGAAAGCUUCACUCCAUUUCCAGAGGUCUUCUUGUAUUUUUCCACUUUGAAGAAUGAAUUGCACUCCUGGUAAGGAGUAUAACAAGUGGGCACACAGUUUUGUCUUGAGCUCAUCUCUACCAGUACCUCAGCCUUGACCUCUGAUGUCUGCUUUUGGCUGCCUGAACCUUGGACCCCCACUCAACAACCUCAAUGCCUUCUUUAUCUAGUCUUUGCAAUAUGGCCUGGUAGGAAUCACAAACCCAGCACUAAACUCCACAGGCCAGAACUGCCAAAGUAGAGCAGUAUUAACCAACCUGAGCCAAAGGUACUGUAUUUUCUUCAGCUCCACACUAAUGAAGAAAUUUGUCAAAUAUUUAUUCUGGAAGAUAAAUUUAAAUCAAGUUAAUAGGAAAAGAGAGUGAAUGACUGAAUUCCGUUAUUGCCUUUCUUGGCUCCUUAUGUUACUGGAGGAAGCCAUAAAACCUUAUUUGUGCUGUUCAUUUUCAUAUUUUCAUGCUUACAUUACAGAAGAAAGAAAAGUAAAGGCUGGCUCCAGAUGAAACAUCUCUGUCUGGAAAAGGAACAGUCUGUCCCAAGGCCACAAUUGGCACAGCCCUGCAAAGCAAACUUACACAACAAACUCAGGGCAAAAGUCAAAUAACAGAAGAGCUAAAAGGAGACAGAGCCCAACAGAUGGAGGCUCUUGAAUAAAGUUUUGAAAAAGGUCCACAAAAGAUAUAGUCAAUAUCUGGUUUGCUAGUAACAGCAGGUUUAUCUCCAAAAUCUUCCUCUAACGUGAUAAUCAGUUCCCAGAGAUCAUCAUGCAUGGCAUUUCAAGAAGGAACCCUUGAGCAAAUCACGGACUGACAUGGACCACAAAAAAAAAAAAAAAAA
ensembl:lncRNA